CAAUGCCGCGUGGAGGAUGAAGGUCUUCGGAUGUAAACUCCUGUUGCCAGGGACGAAUGGCUCCGACCUAAUACGUCGGAGAAUGACGGUACCUGGUGAGGAAGCCCCGGCUAACUCUGUGCCAGCAGCCGCGGUAAUACAGAGGGGGCAAGCGUUGUUCGGAAUUACUGGGCGUAAAGGGCGCGUAGGCGGCCCGCUAAGUCGAACGUGAAAUCCCCAGGCUCAACCUGGGAACUGCGUCCGAUACUGGCAGGCUUGAAUCCGGGAGAGGGAUGUGGAAUUCCAGGUGUAGCGGUGAAAUGCGUAGAUAUCUGGAGGAACACCGGUGGCGAAGGCGGCAUCCUGGACCGGUAUUGACGCUGAGGCGCGAAAGCUAGGGGAGCAAACGGGAUUAGAUACCCCGGUAGUCCUAGCCCUAAACGAUGAAUGCUUGGUGUGGCGGGUAUCGAUCCCUGCCGUGCCGAAGCUAACGCAUUAAGCAUUCCGCCUGGGGAGUACGGUCGCAAGGCUG
rnacentral:rRNA from 1 species